rnacentral:rRNA from 1 species
GAGUUUGAUCGUGGCUCAGGAUGAACGCUGGCGGCGUGCUUAACACAUGCAAGUCGAACGAAGCGCCUUAUUUGAUUUUCUUCGGAACUGAAGAUUUGGUGACUGAGUGGCGGACGGGUGAGUAACGCGUGGGUAACCUGCCCUGUACAGGGGGAUAACAAUCAGAAAUGACUGCUAAUACCGCAUAAGACCACAGCACCGCAUGGUGCAGGGGUAAAAACUCCGGUGGUACAGGAUGGACCCGCGUCUGAUUAGCUGGUUGGUGAGGUAACGGCUCACCAAGGCGACGAUCAGUAGCCGGCUUGAGAGAGUGAACGGCCACAUUGGGACUGAGACACGGCCCAAACUCCUACGGGAGGCAGCAGUGGGGAAUAUUGCACAAUGGGGGAAACCCUGAUGCAGCAACGCCGCGUGAGUGAAGAAGUAUUUCGGUAUGUAAAGCUCUAUCAGCAGGGAAGAAAGUGACGGUACCUGACUAAGAAGCCCCGGCUAACUACGUGCCAGCCGCCGCCGUAAG